CGUUCAAAGGUCCAACUCAAAAAUUUUAACUUCGAGUUCCACCAGUCUCCCCUUCCCAGGAGGACACUGAUCCAUGUCCAGGUGUGGAGUGUCUGUCAUGGCAAGGACAGGGAAUGGUAUGUGUGUGUCCCUCCCAACCCAGCCCCCAGCCUUUGGUUUCUGCCAGGCUCAUUUGGCUGAAGGGGCCAGCCGGAAGGUCUGAGGCUUCCACCUUGAACCUGGGUCCUGGUCUGCUUUGUCUCCAUGUGUCUCUACUGUCACCCGAACUGAAAUUCGGAGCAAUUCUCCAGGGAGAAGGGAAGGGAUCCCUCUCUGAAAGUCUGAGAUGCAAGAAGAUCCGUAAGUGAAGAUUGGGGGGCGUCAAAACCAAGGUGACAAAAUAUGAUGAAAAAUUUUAUGCUGGUAAAUUUGAAAACUCAGGUAAAGACAUUUCUAAGAAAGUAGUACUUAACACAUAUGCAAGUAGAAAAAAAAAGUCCAAAUAGCCUUUAUAUGUAAAAGUAAAUGAAUUAGUAGUUUAAAAUCUUCUGACUAGGAAAAAUACAGGGCCCAGCCAGUGUUUUAGGUAUUAGAACGAACCUUCAAGUAAAAAUAUUAUUAAAAAUAUUAAAAAUACUAGAAUAGGAUAGGAAAAAAAAAGAGCAUUUCCUAAUACUGGUGAAACAUACAACCAUAAAAUUCUAGAGAAAGUACUGGAGCACAUCCUCAAGAUCUUAAGAAGGUGAUUUUUAAAAUAAGAUAUCAAAUGUGUUUUGUUAAAAUGGAAAAAGUCACUGAAAAUUCACCUACUUUAAAAUGGAGAAUUUAGACCAGUAUAAUCACUAUGGGAAAUACUUUGGUAUUACUCAAUAAAUUUAAGUGUGCAUAUAUUCCAUGGACCAAAAUCUUGUCUCUCUCUCUCUCUCUCUCUCUCUCUCUCUCUAUGUAUAUAUAUAUAUAUAUAUAUAUAUAUAUAUAUAUAUAUAUAUUCUUAAAACACUGCAUCUGAGGACCUGAAAAGUAUGCAUAGAAUAUGCAAAUCACCAAGAAUAUGCAAAUUGCUAAAACUAGAAAAAAAUCCACCUCAAGUACAACAAAGGUGUCACCCCAUUCAGUGGGUCCAUGUUGCUCUCUCUGGUUUUCCCAGUGUCCAGUGAACAUUUAUUUACCAAGGAAUGAAUAAGUGAAUGAGUGAUUUGAGCAAAGGAAUAUGUCACUCCAAGCAAGUUCAUGGUAUGAAGCUCAUUCUAGAAGUAGAAGGAAGUUCCAUUCCUGCAUCCUGGCGUGGGGAGAAGAGGUCUGUAGCUGGCAGUGGGUGGAUCCUGGACUCCCACUAGCCCCCAGGACUACUCCUGCUGUUCUUAGGAGAAUACCAGUAGAGCAGAGGCCACUCAACCACAGUGUAGGAGGGCUGAGGGCAUCAGAGGUGUGCAAUGCUUAGGUGUGACCGUUCCAUCAGUGUGUGGAUACCCAUCCAGGAGGCAAACACCGGCUCCUAAACCAGCUAGUAGCACUUUGUAUUGCUCCAAUGUCCUUCUGUUGAAAAGGUCCCAGCAAUGCCACAGGCUCGAAGCCCUCUCCAAAGAGGGCAUAUUAACAUCUCCAUUUUACAAAUGGAAAGAUAAUGGGCCCAUGUUCAGUGGGCUAGAGAGCACUCGUGGGCGGCAAGCUCCUGUCUGGCCUUCCAGAGGUUCUCCCAGUCAGACAAUCAGAGCCAGAGUAAGAGAAAAUAAACCAGAACUGUCAUCAGUUCAGAAUCAGUGGCUUGGGAAGCUUGAUGAGAGCCGCCCCAUGAGAGGUAGCUGGGGUGAAAUGCUUGCUUAGCUCCAGAGAGGCCUGGGUCAGACAUCUCAGGACACAGUUUUCCCUCUCUGGAGUCCCGAGGUGGUUUCCUCUGCCUCUCUCCUGGGUAGGGUCCUGGCACCUGGGGGAGAAACCACCUGGACAAGGAACUCAAGCCAGAAUGGAGUGUGCGAGGGUCUCCGAGGCAGGGCCAGCCUUCAGGGCAGGCCGAUCUGGGGGUUCUUCAGGAAGAAGGCCAGUUUUUGGGCUACGGAGUCCAGCUCGCUGGAGUUAGCAUAUUGGAGGAGGUUGCUCUUUGGGACGAAGUAGUGCUUCAGGAAGUGCUGGCUCACACACUUGUGCAGCUUCCUCACCAGGCGCAGGAGGGCUUUGUGGAACACCUGCCAGUCCUUCAGGUGGGGAUACUUCUCACAAGUCCAGAAGAGCACAGUCUGCGGAAGGAAGAGGGAGCGUCAGACGUGGUUUUGGGGUCCCUGAGCGGAAUAUCUUCAGAAACAAGUACUGAGUCUGUGUGGCCUUGGAAGGAGGGAGAGAAGAAAAUGGGACCAGGAAAAUGGGUCCUGCCCUGAAUUCAUGAUCCUCAGUCUCAAAUGGGCACUCAGCCUUAGCCAGUGGGUCCUCUCCCUGUCUUGGCUGAUUUAUUCUCUCACUCUCCUCUAACAUUUCUAGUGAUCAUCACUCUCCUCAAGUCUGCAGCGGCACACACCAUGCCUUUGUCUUCUGUUUUAAAGGCAACAUGGAACCAACCCCUCAUCCUCGGAAACCCAAGAGCUCCCUUUACCCCUUCUGUUCCACCGCUCCUCCUAGCCAGGGCUGACCCCUGCACAGGACCCAGAUCCUGCCAUCUUGGAACUGCGUAUGAUUGCUCUCCCUCUUGCUCCAUGGCUUCUCGACUGGUUCCAACUCUCCUGCUCCUGACCCCCACUUCCCUUCGGUCCUAACUCUUGCCUCUCUGCAAAUCUAGGUUCCCAGUCACUUGUCAUCAUUUUCUCUCUUUUCAUUCAUUGCCUGCCUCCCAUCCCCUCCAAUAUGGUGUCUUCUUCCAUUAAUCCUAAAAGGGCCGCUCUUGCUAUGGCCCAAUGAUCUCCAUGUCUCUCAGUCCAACCAGACUUUUUCAGACUUGGCUUUAUCUGCCUUUCAGCUGAUUAGAUUCCCGUCUACGCCCUCCUCUUUUGAGUCACUCUUCACUCGGCUUCCAAGCUAAUCUACUCUCUGGGUGUUCUCCUAGCAUUACAGCUACUCCUUGGCAGAAAUAUCAUCCUUGACCCACCUCUAAAUGUUGGAGUUUCUGGGGGUUUCCUUCCCGCACCACUUCUCCUCUUUACCUCUCUUCCCCAGCUCUGUGUUCCUCCCACCACAGAGGCUUUAGUUCCCGUUAAUAUGGUUGACCUGUAAAUGGUUUUCUCCGGCUCUGACGUUUCCUCUGAUCGCCUUACCUGUUUCUCUUGGAUUUCUAAAAGUUAUCUCAGUCUCAACAUGUCCAAACUGAACUCAUGGCCUUUCCACACAGCCUGAUCUGCCUUCAGAGUUGCUUAUUCAGUGAGUUAUGCAAGACACAAACCUAGGAGUCAUCCCUCUCCCCACCAUGCCCAGCCAAGUCCUGCCCAAACUCCUGCCUAAGUAAUUUUCAACUCUGCCCACUUACUUCAUCUCCAGUGAUAACACCCUCUUCCACACCACACAACAUUUCACCUGGAUCCUGGCAACAACCGUAACCAGUCUGCACCUACUGCCUUCACUGUUUAGCCUGACCCCACCCACACUGCAGUCCUCAUGAUCUUUUUGAAAUAUAAAUCUUGGUUCCUUCUUGUCUAAAUGCUUCAACUUCUUCCCACUGUUAAUUAACUAAAAGUACAAUUUUUUAACAUGGUUUGGUCCAUGAGGUUUGGCCUCAGCCUCCCUUGCUAGCCUUUUGACAAAGAUGUCAAGAAAGAUAUGGAAUCGGGUGAGACAUCCAUCAACAGAGCAACGGAUAAAGAAAACCUGGUACCCAUGCACAAUGGGGUGUCAUUCAGCCAUAAAGAAUGGAACCCUGCCCCUUGCAGGAAUGUGGAUGGAACCGGAGGACAUUAUGUUAAGUGAAAUAAGUCAGACACAGAAAAGCAAGUACUGCAUAUUCUCUCUCAUAUGUGGAAGCUAAAAAAAAGUUGAUCGGAAUAUGGAAUGGUGAUUACUAGAAGGUGGGAAGGGUGUAAGGGUGAGGUUGGGAUUUGAUCAGUACGUGUCAUGUGCAUUAGGGGAAAUAGCACACUGAACUUCACGAAUGUGUACAAUUAAUACAUGUUAAUCAGACAUAAAAUAAGUAUUUUAAAAAGAA